AUCAUCCAAUAUGGAAACAGGGCUAACUGGAAUUCACGAAUGACUCAAAGAGGGUGUAUGAAUGGGAUGUGAUGUCUUCAUGUGAAAUGCUGAAUAACCGAGCAGGAGAUUUAGAAUUAUUAUCGCACCAGGGGCAAAAAGGGAGAAAGAAGCAGGACAAGAAAGAGGCAUGUUCCAUGAAUCCCCAGAUAUAAAUGCUAGCAAUACCAGUAUGUUCGGUGAUAAGAACGAUAACAUCAAACCUGUCAUAUUGAUCUUGAAUGUGCAUGUUCCUUGCCACUAGAGGAGCUGUUUAUUGGCUUCAUAUAAGAAAUUCAAGGGUUGCCACC
rnacentral:sRNA from 1 species